rnacentral:rRNA from 1 species
GUUGAACGCUGGCGGAAUGCUUUACACAUGCAAGUCGAACGGCAGCACGGACUUCGGUCUGGUGGCGAGUGGCGAACGGGUGAGUAACAUAUCGGAACGUAUCCAAUAAUGGGGGAUAACGAGUCGAAAGAUUCGCUAAUACCGCAUACGCCCUACGGGGGAAAGCUGGGGACCUUCGGGCCUGGCGUUAAUGGAGCGGCCGAUAUCUGAUUAGCUAGUUGGUGAGGUAAAGGCUCACCAAGGCGACGAUCAGUAGCGGGGCUGAGAGGACGACCAGCCACACUGGAACUGAGCCACGGUCCAGGCUCCUACGGGAGGCAGCAGUGGGGGAUUUUGGACAAUGGGCGCAAGCCUGAUCCAGCCAUUCCGCGUGAGUGAAGAAGGCCUUCGGGUUGUAAAGCUCUUUCGCAAGGGAAGAAAACUUAGCCACUAACAUUGGUUGAGGUUGACGGUACCUUGAUAAGAAGCACCGGCUAACUACGUGCCAGCCGCCGCCGUAA